rnacentral:rRNA from 1 species
AAAGCAGGGGAUCGCAAGACCUUGCGCUGAUUGAGCGGCCGAUAUCAGAUUAGCUAGUUGGUGAGGUAAAGGCUCACCAAGGCGACGAUCUGUAGCGGGUCUGAGAGGAUGAUCCGGCCACACUGGAACUGAGACACGGUCCAGACUCCUACGGGAGGCAGCAGUGGGGAAUUUUGGGACAAUGGGCGCAAGCCUGAUCCCAGCCAUGCCGCGUGAGUGAAGAAGGCCUUCGGGUUGUAAAGCUCUUUCGGCCGGGAAGAAAUCGCACGGGUUAAUACCCUGUGUGGAUGACGGUACCGGAAUAAGAAGCACCGGCUAACUACGUG